rnacentral:rRNA from 1 species
UACGUAGGGUGCGAGCGUUAAUCGGAAUUACUGGGCGUAAAGCGUGCGCAGGCGGUUUUGUAAGCCAGAUGUGAAAUCCCCGGGCUUAACCUGGGAAUGGCAUUUGGGACUGCAAGGCUGGAGUGCGGUAGAGGAGACUGGAAUUCCUGGUGUAGCAGUGAAAUGCGUAGAUAUCAGGAGGAAUACCGAUGGCGAAGGCAGGUCUCUGGGCUGACACUGACGCUCAUGCACGAAAGCGUGGGGAGCAACAGG